GUUCUCUGGCACCCAGAGUUCCAGUUUCAGGUUCUCUGAGGCCAAAUGAUAAUAUAGCAGAGUGAACAUUAGUGGAGCACCGACUUGGAGUUACAUAUUUUGUGCCCUCCUAGGGUCCAACUUGUAUACCCACAUGAAUGGGGCAGGCCACCAUGUUGUAAAGAUGUCCAUAAUAAAAAGACUCCGUAUAGAUGCCAUGCCAUACCAGCUGUCCAUGAACCCAGGCCCCAGUGAACCAACCAGCUGCACGAAUGAGCCCUGGCAAAACCAGUGGAACACCUAACCAGCCCAAAUAAUUGUGAGAAAUAAUAAAUUGCUAUUGUUUUAAAU